GUGUCAGCCGCCGCGGUAAUACAGAGGGUGCGAGCGUUAAUCGGAUUUACUGGGCGUAAAGCGUGCGUAGGCGGCUUUUUAAGUCGGAUGUGAAAUCCCCGAGCUUAACUUGGGAAUUGCAUUCGAUACUGGGAAGCUAGAGUAUGGGAGAGGAUGGUAGAAUUCCAGGUGUAGCGGUGAAAUGCGUAGAGAUCUGGAGGAAUACCGAUGGCGAAGGCAGCCAUCUGGCCUAAUACUGACGCUGAGGUACGAAAGCAUGGGGAGCAAACAGGAUUAGAUACCCUGGUAGUCCAUGCCGUAAACGAUGUCUACUAGCCGUUGGGGCCUUUGAGGCUUUAGUGGCGCAGCUAACGCGAUAAGUAGACCGCCUGGGGAGUACGGUCGCAAGACUAAACCUCAAAUGAAUUGACGGGGGCCCGCACAAGCGGUGGAGCAUGUGGUUUAAUUCGAUGCAACGCGAAGAACCUUACCUGGCCUUGACAUACUAGAAACUUUCCAGAGAUGGAUUGGUGCCUUCGGGAAUCUAGAUACAGGUGCUGCAUGGCUGUCGUCAGCUCGUGUCGUGAGAUGUUGGGUUAAGUCCCGCAACGAGCGCAACCCUUUUCCUUACUUGCCAGCAUUUCGGAUGGGAACUUUAAGGAUACUGCCAGUGACAAACUGGAGGAAGGCGGGGACGACGUCAAGUCAUCAUGGCCCUUACGGCCAGGGCUACACACGUGCUACAAUGGUCGGUACAAAGGGUUGCUACACAGCGAUGUGAUGCUAAUCUCAAAAAGCCGAUCGUAGUCCGGAUUGGAGUCUGCAACUCGACUCCAUGAAGUCGGAAUCGCCAGUAAUCGCGGAUCAGAAUGCCGCGGUGAAUACGUUCCCGGGCCUUGCACACACCGCCCGUC
rnacentral:rRNA from 1 species